GAUGAACGCUGGCGGCGUGCCUAAUACAUGCAAGUCGAGCGAACGGACGAGAAGCUUGCUUCUCUGAUGUUAGCGGCGGACGGGUGAGUAACACGUGGAUAACCUACCUAUAAGACUGGGAUAACUUCGGGAAACCGGAGCAAUACCGGAUGAUAUUUUGAACCGCAUGGUUCAAAAGUGAAAGACGGUCUUGCUGUCACUUAUAGAUGGAUCCGCGCUGCAUUAGCUAGUUGGUAAGGUAACGGCUUACCAAGGCAACGAUGCAUAGCCGACCUGAGAGGGUGAUCGGCCACACUGGAACUGAGACACGGUCCAGACUCCUACGGGAGGCAGCAGUAGGGAAUCUUCCGCAAUGGGCGAAAGCCUGACGGAGCAACGCCGCGUGAGUGAUGAAGGUCUUCGGAUCGUAAAACUCUGUUAUUAGGGAAGAACAUAUGUGUAAGUAACUGUGCACAUCUUGACGGUACCUAAUCAGAAAGCCACGGCUAACUACGUG
rnacentral:rRNA from 1 species